GCAUUGAUAGCUCAGUGGCAGAGCAGUGGGGCUUUAUCCCUGCAGCCCGGGUUCCAUCCCUAGUCAAUGCA